AUUGAACGCUGGCGGCAUGCUUUACACAUGCAAGUCGAACGGUAACAGGCCGCAAGGUGCUGACGGGUGGCGAACGGGUGAGUAAUGCAUCGGAACGUGCCCAGUCGUGGGGGAUAACUACUCGAAAGAGUAGCUAAUACCGCAUACGAUCUAUGGAUGAAAGCGGGGGACUGUAAGGCCUCGCGCGAUUGGAGCGGCCGAUGUCAGAUUAGGUAGUUGGUGGGGUAAAGGCUCACCAAGCCAACGAUCUGUAGCUGGUCUGAGAGGACGACCAGCCACACUGGAACUGAGACACGGCCCAGACUCCUACGGGAGGCAGCAGUGGGGAAUUUUGGACAAUGGGCGCAAGCCUGAUCCAGCAAUGCCGCGUGCAGGAAGAAGGCCUUCGGGUUGUAAACUGCUUUUGUACGGAACGAAACGGCUCUGGUUAAUACCCGGAGCUAAUGACGGUACCGUAAGAAUAAGCACCGGCUAACUACGUG
rnacentral:rRNA from 1 species